UACGUAGGGGGCAAGCGUUGUCCGGAUUUAUUGGGCGUAAAGAGCGUGUAGGCGGUUCGGUAAGUCUGUCGUGAAAUCCUGAGGCUCAACCUCGGGCGUGCGAUGGAUACUGCCGGGCUAGAGGGUGGUAGAGGCGAGUGGAAUUCCCGGUGUAGCGGUGAAAUGCGCAGAUAUCGGGAGGAACACCUAUGGCGAAGGCAGCUCGCUGGGACGUUACUGACGCUGAGACGCGAAAGCGUGGGGAGCAAACAGG
rnacentral:rRNA from 1 species